rnacentral:rRNA from 1 species
GACGAACGCUGGCGGCGUGCCUAAUACAUGCAAGUAGAACGCUGAAGAGAGGAGCUUGCUCUUCUUGGAUGAGUUGCGAACGGGUGAGUAACGCGUAGGUAACCUGCCUUGUAGCGGGGGAUAACUAUUGGAAACGAUAGCUAAUACCGCAUAACAAUGGAUGACACAUGUCAUUUAUUUGAAAGGGGCAAUUGCUCCACUACAAGAUGGACCUGCGUUGUAUUAGCUAGUAGGUGAGGUAACGGCUCACCUAGGCGACGAUACAUAGCCGACCUGGGAGGGUGAUCGGCCACACUGGGACUGAGACACGGCCCAGACUCCUACGGGAGGCAGCAGUAGGGAAUCUUCGGCAAUGGGGGCAACCCUGACCGAGCAACGCCGCGUGAGUGAAGAAGGUUUUCGGAUCGUAAAGCUCUGUUGUAAGUCAAGAACGAGUGUGAGAGUGGAAAGUUCACACUGUGACGGUAGCUUACCAGAAAGGGACGGCUAACUACGUGCCAGCAGCCGCGGUAAUACGUAGGUCCCGAGCGUUGUCCGGAUUUAUUGGGCGUAAAGCGAGCGCAGGCGGUUUGAUAAGUCUGAAGUUAAGGCUGUGGCUCAACCAUAGUUCGCUUUGGAAACUGUCAAACUUGAGUGCAGAAGGGGAGAGUGGAAUUCCAUGUGUAGCGGUGAAAUGCGUAGAUAUAUGGAGGAACACCGGUGGCGAAAGCGGCUCUCUGGUCUGUAACUGACGCUGAGGCUCGAAAGCGUGGGGAGCGAACAGGAUUAGAUACCCUGGUAGUCCACGCCGUAAACGAUGAGUGCUAGGUGUUGGAUCCUUUCCGGGAUUCAGUGCCGCAGCUAACGCAUUAAGCACUCCGCCUGGGGAGUACGACCGCAAGGUUGAAACUCAAAGGAAUUGACGGGGGCCCGCACAUGCGGUGGAGCAUGUGGUUUAAUUCGAAGCAACGCGAAGAACCUUACCAGGUCUUGACAUCCCGAUGCUAUUUCUAGAGAUAGAAAGUUACUUCGGUACAUCGGUGACAGGUGGUGCAUGGUUGUCGUCAGCUCGUGUCGUGAGAUGUUGGGUUAGGUCCCGCAACGAGCGCAACCCCUAUUGUUAGUUGCCAUCAUUCAGUUGGGCACUCUAGCGAGACUGCCGGUAAUAAACCGGAGGAAGGUGGGGAUGACGUCAAAUCAUCAUGCCCCUUAUGACCUGGGCUACACACGUGCUACAAUGGUUGGUACAACGAGUUGCGAGUCGGUGACGGCAAGCUAAUCUCUUAAAGCCAAUCUCAGUUCGGAUUGUAGGCUGCAACUCGCCUACAUGAAGUCGGAAUCGCUAGUAAUCGCGGAUCAGCACGCCGCGGUGAAUACGUUCCCGGGCCU